rnacentral:rRNA from 1 species
AGUGAACGCUGGCGGUAGGCCUAACACAUGCAAGUCGAACGGCAGCACAGUAAGAGCUUGCUCUUACGGGUGGCGAGUGGCGGACGGGUGAGGAAUACAUCGGAAUCUACUUUUUCGUGGGGGAUAACGUAGGGAAACUUACGCUAAUACCGCAUGCGACCUACGGGUGAAAGCAGGGGAUCUUCGGACCUUGCGCGAUUGAAUGAGCCGAUGUCGGAUUAGCUAGUUGGCGGGGUAAGGGCCCACCAAGGCGACGAUCCGUAGCUGGUCUGAGAGGAUGAUCAGCCACACUGGAACUGAGACACGGUCCAGACUCCUACGGGAGGCAGCAGUGGGGAAUAUUGGACAAAGGGCGCAAGCCUGAUCCAGCCAUACCGCGUGGGUGAAGAAGGCCUUCGGGUUGUAAAGCCCUUUUGUUGGGAAAGAAAAGCAGCAGGUUAAUACCCCGCUGUUCUGACGGUACACAAAGAAUAAGCACCGGCUAACUUCGUG